rnacentral:rRNA from 1 species
CCUACGGGGGACAGCAGUGGGGAAUAUUGGACAAUGGGGGGAACCCUGAUCCAGCGACGCCGCGUGAGUGAAGAAGUAUUUCGGUAUGUAAAGCUCUAUCAGCAGGGAAGAAAGAAAUGACGGUACCUGACUAAGAAGCCCCGGCUAACUACGUGCCAGCAGCCGGGGUACUACGUAGGGGGCAAGCGUUAUCCGGAUUUACUGGGGGGAAAGGGAGCGGAGACGGCGAUGCAAGUCUGAAGUGAAAGGCGGGGGCCCAACCUCCGGACUGCUUUGGAAACUGUAUGGCUAGAGUGCAGGAGAGGUAAGUGGAAUUCCUAGUGUAGCGGUGAAAUGCGUAGAUAUUAGGAGGAACACCAGUGGCGAAGGCGGCUUACUGGACUGUAACUGACGUUGAGGCUCGAAAGCGUGGGGAGCAAACAGGAUUAGAUACCCCAGUAGUC